rnacentral:rRNA from 1 species
AUUGAACGCUGGCGGCAGGCCUAACACAUGCAAGUCGAGCGGAUGAAGGGAGCUUGCUCCUGGAUUCAGCGGCGGACGGGUGAGUAAUGCCUAGGAAUCUGCCUGGUAGUGGGGGAUAACGUCCGGAAACGGGCGCUAAUACCGCAUACGUCCUGAGGGAGAAAGUGGGGGAUCUUCGUACCUCACGCUAUCAGAUGAGCCUAGGUCGGAUUAGCUAGUUGGUGGGGUAAAGGCCUACCAAGGCGACGAUCCGUAACUGGUCUGAGAGGAUGAUCAGUCACACUGGAACUGAGACACGGUCCAGACUCCUAGGGGAGGCAGCAGUGGGGAAUAUUGGACAAUGGGCGAAAGCCUGAUCCAGCAAUGCCGCGUGUGUGAAGAAGGUCUUCGGAUUGUAAAGCACUUUAAGUUGGGAGGAAGGGCAGUAAGUUAAUACCUUGCUGUUUUGACGUUACCAACAGAAUAAGCACCGGCUAACUUCGUG